rnacentral:rRNA from 1 species
CAGUCGCCACGGUAAUACGAAGGGUGCAAGCGUUAAUCGGAAUUACUGGGCGUAAAGCGUGCGUAGGCGGUUUGUUAAGUCUGCUGUGAAAUCCCCGGGCUCAACCUGGGAAUGGCAGUGGAUACUGGCAAGCUAGAGUGUGUCAGAGGAUGGUGGAAUUCCCGGUGUAGCGGUGAAAUGCGUAGAGAUCGGGAGGAACACCAACGGCGAAAGCACUCUGCUGGGCCGACACUGACACUGAGUGACGAAAGCUAGGGGAGCAAAUGGGAUUAGAUACCCCAGUAGUCCCUGUCUCUUAUAC